AAAAAUGAUUUCACAAAAACAGAG
rnacentral:snRNA from 1 species